rnacentral:rRNA from 1 species
GAUGAACGCUGGCGGCGUGCCUAAUACAUGCAAGUCGAGCGAACUGAUUAGAAGCUUGCUUCUAUGACGUUAGCGGCGGACGGGUGAGUAACACGUGGGCAACCUGCCUGUAAGACUGGGAUAACUUCGGGAAACCGAAGCUAAUACCGGAUAGGAUCUUCUCCUUCAUGGGAGAUGAUUGAAAGAUGGUUUCGGCUAUCACUUACAGAUGGGCCCGCGGUGCAUUAGUUAGUUGGUGAGGUAACGGCUCACCAAGGCAACGAUGCAUAGCCGACCUGAGAGGGUGACCGGCCAAACUGGGACUGAGACGCGACCCAGACUCCUACGGGAGGCAGCAGUAGGGAAUCUUCCGCAAUGGACGAAAGUCUGACGGAGCAACGCCGCGAGAGUGAUGAAGGCUUUCGGGUCGUAAAACUCUGUUGUUAGGGAAGAACAAGUAUGAGAGUAACUGCUCGUACCUUGACGGUACCUAACCAGAAAGCCACGGCUAACUACGUGCCAGCCGCCGCGGUAA